rnacentral:rRNA from 1 species
AUACGUAGGGGGCGAGCGUUGUCCGGAAUGAUUGAGCGUAAAGGGCGCGUAGGCGGCCCGGUAAGUCUGGAGUGAAAGUCCUGCUUUUAAGGUGGGAAUUGCUUUGGAUACUGUCGGGCUUGAGUGCAGGAGAGGGAAGUGGAACUCCCAGUGUAGCGGUGAAAUGCGUAGAGAUUGGGAGGAACACCAGUGGCGAAGGCGACUUACUGGACUGUAACUGACGCUGAGGCGCGAAAGUGUGGGGAGCAAACAGGAUUAGAUACCCUGGUAGUCCACACUGUAAACGAUGAAUGCUAGGUGUAGGGGGUAUCGACCCCUUCUGUGCCGCAGUUAACACAAUAAGCAUUCCGCCUGGGGAGUACGGCCGCAAGGUUGAAACUCAAAUGAAUUGGCGGGG